rnacentral:rRNA from 1 species
AGAGCGAACGCUGGCGGCAGGCUUAACACAUGCAAGUCGAGCGGAUGUAGCAAUACAUCAGCGGCAGACGGGUGAGUAACACGUGGGAACGUACCUUUUGGUUCGGAACAACACAGGGAAACUUGUGCUAAUACCGGAUAAGCCCUUACGGGGAAAGAUUUAUCGCCGAAAGAUCGGCCCGCGUCUGAUUAGCUAGUUGGUGAGGUAACGGCUCACCAAGGCGACGAUCAGUAGCUGGUCUGAGAGGAUGAUCAGCCACAUUGGGACUGAGACACGGCCCAAACUCCUACGGGAGGCAGCAGUGGGGAAUAUUGGACAAUGGGCGCAAGCCUGAUCCAGCCAUGCCGCGUGAGUGAUGAAGGCCUAGGGUUGUAAAGCUCUUUUGUGCGGGAAGAUAAUGACGGUACCGCAAGAAUAAGCCCCGGACUAACUUCGCGCCAGCAGCCGC